rnacentral:rRNA from 1 species
CCUACGGGAGGCAGCAGUGAGGAAUAUUGGUCAAUGGACGAGAGUCUGAACCAGCCAAGUAGCGUGAAGGAUGACUGCCCUACGGGUUGUAAACUUCUUUUAUAUGGGAGUAAAAUGUUCCACGUGUGGGUUUUUGUAUGUACCAUAUGAAUAAGGAUCGGCUAACUCCGUGCCAGCAGCCGCGGUAAUACGGAGGAUCCGAGCGUUAUCCGGAUUUAUUGGGUUUAAAGGGUGCGUAGGUGGAUUGUUAAGGCAGUUGUGAAAGUUUGCGGCUCAACCGUAAAAUUGCAGUUGAAACUGGCAGUCUUGAGUACAGUAGAGGUGGGCGGAAUUCGUGGUGUAGCGGUGAAAUGCUUAGAUAUCACGAAGAACUCCGAUUGCGAAGGCAGCUCACUGGACUGCAACUGACACUGAGGCUCGAAAGUGUGGGUAUCAAACAGGAUUAGAUACCCUGGUAGUC